GACGACGCUGGCGGCGUGGAUUAGGCAUGCAAGUCGAACGGUAUCAUCCUUCGGGGGUGAGAGAGUGGCGAACUGGUGAGUAACACGUAGGUUAUCUACCCUCAAGACGGGGACAACCCAGGGAAACUUGGGCUAAUACCGGAUGUGAGCAACUUUUAGUUGUUUGAAGGUGGCGUAAGCUGUCGCUUGGGGAUGAGCCUGCGUCCUAUUAGUUAGUUGGUGAGGUAACGGCUCACCUAGGCAAUGAUAGGUAGGCGGCCUUAACGGGUGGUCGCCCACACUGGGAUUGAGAUACGGCCCAGACUCCUACGGGAGGCAGCAGUCGAGAAUAGUCUACAAUGGUCGGAAGACUGAUAGUGCGACGCCGCGUGAACGAUGAAUCCCUUCGGGGUGUAAAGUUCUUUUAUAUGUGAGCAGUGCUUCUUAUAUUAACAGUAUGGGGAGAGAGAUAUUAGCAUAUGAAUAAGCAACGGCUAACUCCGUG
rnacentral:rRNA from 1 species